rnacentral:rRNA from 1 species
UACGAAGGGGGCUAGCGUUGUUCGGAUUUACUGGGCGUAAAGCGCACGUAGGCGGAUUGGUCAGUUAGGGGUGAAAUCCUGGAGCUCAACUCCAGAACUGCCUUUAAUACUGCCAAUCUCGAGUCCGGAAGAGGUAAGUGGAACUCCUGGUGUAGAGGUGGAAUUCGUAGAUAUUAGGAAGAACACCAGUGGCGAAGGCGGCUUACUGGUCCGGUACUGACGCUGAGGUGCGAAAGCGUGGGGAGCAAACAGG